rnacentral:ncRNA from 21 species
CGGCACGUAGCGCAGCCUGGUAGCGCACCGUCAUGGGGUGUCGGGGGUCGGAGGUUCAAAUCCUCUCGUGCCGA